UACGAAGGGGGCUAGCGUUGUCCGGAUUUAUUGGGCGUAAAGAGCGUGUAGGCGGCCAUGUAGGUCCGGUGUGAAAACUCGAGGCUUAACCUCGAGAUGUCAUCGGAAACCAUUUGGCUAGAGUCCGGAAGAGGAGAGUGGAAUUCCUGGUGUAGCGGUGAAAUGCGCAGAUAUCAGGAGGAACACCAGUGGCGAAGGCGACACACUGGCCCGUUACUGACGCUGAGGCGCGAAGCGUGGGGAGCAAACAGG
rnacentral:rRNA from 1 species